CUCCGGUGAUCCUGCCGGACCUGACUGCUAUCGGAUUGGUACUAAGCCAUGCGAGUCGUUGUAGCAAUACAAGGCGGACGGCUCAGUAACACGUAGUCAACCUAACCUAUGGACGUGGAUAACCUCGGGAAACUGAGAAUAAACCGCGAUAGAUCAUUAUGCCUGGAAUGGCUUAUGGUUCAAACAAUUUAUUGCCGUAGGAUGGGACUGCGGCCUAUCAGCUUGUUGGUGAGGUAAUGGCCCACCAAGGCUAUAACAGGUACGGGCUCUGAGAGGAGAAGCCCGGAGAUGGGUACUGAGACACGGACCCAGGCCCUAUGGGGCGCAGCAGGCGAGAAACCUUAGCAAUGUGCGAAAGCACGACUAGGUUAAUCCGAGUGAUUUCUGUUGAAGAAAUCUUUUGUCAGUCGUAAAACCACAGACGAAUAAGGGGUGGGCAAGUCUGGUGUCAGCCGCCGCGGUAAUACCAGCACCUCGAGUGGUCAGGAGGUUUAUUGGGCCUAAAGCAUCCGUAGCCGGCUACGCAAGUCUCCGGUUAAAUCCAGCUGCUCAACAGAUGGGCUGCCGGAGAUACUACAUAGCUAGGGAGCGGGAGAGGUAGACGGUAUUCUGUGGGUAGGGGUAAAAUCCACUGAUCCAUAGAGGACCACCAGUGGCGAAGGCGGUCUACCAGAACGCGUUCGACGGUGAGGGAUGAAAGCUGGGGGAGCAAACCGGAUUAGAUACCCGGGUAGUCCCAGCUGUAAACGAUGCAAACUCGGUGAUGCAUUGGCUUAUGGCCAAUGCAGUGCCGCAGGGAAGCCGUUAAGUUUGCCGCCUGGGAAGUACGGACGCAAGCCUGAAACUUAAAGGAAUUGGCGGGGGAGCA
rnacentral:rRNA from 1 species